rnacentral:rRNA from 1 species
GGCGCUCCGGCGCUCGAAGGCNACCCCAGGUCAGGCGGGAUAACCCGUUGAGUAGCCCNUAA